GACGAACGCUGGCGGCAUGCCUAAUACAUGCAAGUCGAACGCGGCCAUCCGGUGCUUGCACUGGUGAAGCCGAGUGGCGAACGGGUGAGUAACACGUGAGAAACCUGCCCUGGAGUGGGGAAUAACUCGAAGAAAUUCGAGCUAAUACCGCAUACCUUCUCUUCACCGCAUGGUGAGUUGAAGAAAGAUUUAUCGCUCUAGGAGGGUCUCGCGGCCUAUCAGCUAGUUGGUGAGGUAAUGGCUCACCAAGGCAUCGACGGGUAGCUGGUCUGAGAGGACGAUCAGCCACACUGGGACUGAGACACGGCCCAGACUCCUACGGGAGGCAGCAGUAGGGAAUCUUGCGCAAUGGGCGCAAGCCUGAUGCAGCAACGCCGCGUGCGGGAUGACGGCCUGGGUUGUAACCGCUUCAGCAGGACGAAGCGCAAGUGACGGUACCUGCAGAAGAAGACACCGGCAACUACGUGCCG
rnacentral:rRNA from 1 species